ACCUACGGGACGCAGCAGUGAGGAAUAUUGGUCAAUGGCCGAGAGGCUGAACCAGCCAAGUCGCGUGAGGGAAGACGGCCCUACGGGUUGUAAACCUCUUUUGUCGGGGAGCAAAGCGAGUCACGUGUGACUCAUUGAGAGUACCCGAAGAAAAAGCAUCGGCUAACUCCGUGCCAGCAGCCGCGGUAAUACGGAGGAUGCGAGCGUUAUCCGGAUUUAUUGGGUUUAAAGGGUGCGCAGGCGGCGAGUUAAGUCAGCGGUAAAAUUUCGGGGCUCAACCCCGACAAGCCGUUGAAACUGGCUUG
rnacentral:rRNA from 1 species